CAACUGCAGUGGCAAGGUCUGGGGAUUGAGAGGCCCGACUCCUUCCUGUUGCCUUGUGAAGAAGGCUCCUGCUUCCCCUUCACCUUCUGCGCGAUUGUAAGUUUCCUGAGGCCUCCUAGCCAUGCUUCUUGUUCACUCUGCGGAACUGUCCUGAGCUGAAAAGAAUAUGAGAAAUCGGAUUUUACGACAUUGUGAAGAAACAUCCUGAAGUUAUUCACAGUGACUUCAAUGAACAACACAUCAGUAUACUUUUUACACAGGGGACAAAAGUAAAAGCCGGCUUGAUCAUUUACAAGGCUUUCACCAUGCCGCUGAGAUGUCAAGGACUACAAGUUGAUCUUCAGCCUCUUAAAAUAUGGCCUCGAAGCCUUUCAUGUCUUCAGUCAACUCCAGCAUUUUGACUGAUGGGAGCUGGUGUGUGUUUGUGUGCAGUGGGAGAGAGGACACAAUCCCGAACCUGACACAGCCUGUGCUUGGAGCAGCCUGCGCCUGCUGCCCUCAAUCAUUUAGGUAUAUACAAUGAACCUCACCUGAAACAAUGUUUGUACAAUCGCUAAUGCCAGUGGCUAAUCCUUCCUAUUUGCCUGCUUUAUCUCAACACUGUCAUCUGUUGAGGUGAAUAUCAAUAUUCAAACAACAAUAACAAAAGAUCCUGUCAUCAAAGUGGAAAUAAAUGAGUAUUUUAGAUUAUUUUAAAUAAUUUGGCCUAUAAAAAUAAAAAAAAAGCUCUGCCUAUAAUUUAACCAAGAUUUUUAAAUGUAGUGACCUAACCCUCUGCCAACUAUUAAUUAGCUUGAUGCUAACUCUAAAUCCCAGAUAGAAGGUGGGGGUGGAGGAAGGUUCCCCAAAUGAAAAGUCUAUUGCAGGCAGUCUUCUAAAAGAACCCUCAGUGUUAGCAGAUAAUGAAAGUACGUGUUACCUAUGACUGAGUAGAAAUGAUGCCAUGACCCGGCAAUUUCUUUUCACUGCUGACACAUCCCUGCACUGCACAAAAUAUCAGUGUUGCCUUCAUGUAAAUUUAAUAGGGUGUCUCUGUCAAUGACAUAAGCAAAUACACCAUGAGAAGCAGCAGGGGUUUUCAGGGAUGGCUCAGAAACUUAAGUAUUUUUCCAUUUAUUUUUAAAAUGCAAAUUACACUAGUAAGUCAAAAAAAUCAUUCUGUUAAAAAUACAUUCAGAAUUAACAAAUGCAAAAAAAAAGGACACAUCAGGAUCAUAACCCUUGCCUUCUGAAUAUUAAGUUUAUAACAAAAGCUCAGCCUAGAAAAAUAGCAUUCUUCACCGGAUUUUGAGGAGGAUACAGCUGUACAACUGUAGAUGUUUUCCCAGAUAUAAUCACACUACUGUGCUUACUGAUCCCAUAAAUGACCUGUCCACUGAUUACUUUUUAGUAGUCAACUACUGUUUUUUAAAAUUUUGGUGGUGAUGAUAGUUGUGAUUUGGUGAAAACUUGGCUGUAACUUAAAGCAGGAAUAUGAGGGUUUAUUUUCUGUACCCAUAUACAUGUACUAUAAGGUGAAAUCGCAUCACAGCAUGAAUGUACAGUGAAACCUCAUUUUUAAUAGUCACAUUAAAAGUCACAUUAGAAUAGUUUCUGGCA
ensembl:lncRNA RNF217-AS1 RNF217 antisense RNA 1 (head to head)